GACAACAUUGCUCUAAUUUUCAACCAAGAAGGAAAAAAAGAAAAACAGCCGUGAAGUUAUUCUCAACCUCUUCUCCUAAUUUUCUUAAUAACCUCCGUCUGUGCUGUGUUUCCCAAAUAAUUCAAUGAUCUUGAUUUUUUUGUUCAACCACUUCAUAUUAAAGCUUGGUUUAGUUGGUACGGUAUCACUAGAUGUUGUAUUGGAUUUUUCACGAAAAUCUUGAUUGUUGAUAACAAAUAAAAUAAUUUCCUUCUUCUUCUUCCAAUUUCAGAAAUAGAGAUUGAAUCGUUAGGGUUUAUCAGGAAUAAGAGGGUAAUGCUAUUGAAGUUCUCUCCGGAUUUUUACUGCAACUGAGGCUGCAAGUGAUGCUUUUGUAUAGUGCUUUAGUUGUUUGUGGAAAUGACUGUGUGAAUCUAGAAUGGAAUUUGCAUCAGUCUAUUUGGAGAUGUUCUGCUAUUGAUUUCCUUUUGUGAUUUGGAUUGAGCUAUCAAAAUUAAUGGGAUUGUUUGGAAAGGAUCAUGGCAUGUUUAAGAUCUCAACAUAUUCUUAGUUGCCUCAAGGUCCAAGUUGUAUACAUUUUUUAGGUACGUGUCCAACUGCUCUGAAGUAAAUGGAAAUGGAAUAUUUGGCUCCUCGGGCAUUGAUUGUAUCAUAAUUGGGAAAACUGUUGCGGAUGGGAUUUUUAGUCCUUAAUAUGUUGCCCCAGAAGUGUUGCGUAAAUAUUAUGGAUUGAAAUAUGAUGUUUAGAGUGAAUUUGCAGUUGUUCAAUUAGAUCUAAUUACGAGUGAAGUUCAAAAUGUUGCUGCUGAAGUGUAAUAAUUUACAAGGAAGUUGAAUAUCAGUUGCAACACGGACUCUAUUAUGCAGUUGCUAAACCAAAUUUUCCAGAGAAUGAAGAUCGAAGUGAAGAAAAUGUGAAUGGUAAAGCCGCUAAGAAAGAAAAUUUGGUUAGUGAGUUCAUUGCCCAAUGUGCAUCCAAAUUAUUUUGUAAACCUUUUCUAAAUUAGAGAACCUAUGUUAGAUUCUACCAGAAAAGUCAGAAGCGAACAUCUCCUGGAAAUGAAUCAAAAAGAAAAUCUAAAAUGCGUCAUAGAUGUAUUUCAGAGAUCACGUGGAUUUGAAAACGCUCAUGGAAACAAAGAUCUCUAUCUUUCAUGGUAGAUGACAAGCAAGGAUCAGUCAAGUUGAACAUACCAUAGCAAGUGAAACAUUACUUGCUGGAAAACUUGCCAAGAGACGCAAGGAUGUAGAACCUCAUGACCUGUUGUCAAAUUUAUGAUAGUCCGAAAUGAGAUCAAUCAUGUCCUUUCAAUAAGUUUUUCAGUCCUUUGUCGGCAAAAUUCCUGGAUUACAUCAACACAACUUAAUCCUACUGCAAUCACCAUGGUUAACUUGCCUAUUUUUCUGCUCAGACUGAUGCUUAAACUUCGAUACUCUUUUGUAAAGAAGAGGUUGUGAUUAGUCAAUAGAUUUUGUUAUCAGGACAUUAAAGGGUUAACCUUUAAUUGAAGGGUUGUACUGUAGAUUUAAUUUAGUUUAGGCGAUUGAUUUUCUUCAA